AGUAACGCGUGAGGAACCUGCCUUUCGGAGGGGGACAACAGUUGGAAACGACUGCUAAUACCGCAUGAUACAUUUGGAUCGCAUGGUCUGAAUGUCAAAGAUUUAUCGCCGAAAGAUGGCCUCGCGUCUGAUUAGCUAGUUGGUGAGGUAAUGGCCCACCAAGGCGACGAUCAGUAGCCGGACUGAGAGGUUGGCCGGCCACAUUGGGACUGAGAUACGGCCCAGACUCCUACGGGAGGCAGCAG
rnacentral:rRNA from 1 species